AGCGAACGCUGGCGGCAGGCCUAACACAUGCAAGUCGAACGAAGCCUUCGGGCUUAGUGGCGGACGGGUGAGUAACACGUGGGAACGUACCUUUUGGUUCGGAACAACUCAGGGAAACUUGAGCUAAUACCGGAUGAGCCCUUAGGGGGAAAGAUUUAUCGCCAAAAGAGCGGCCCGCGUUAGAUUAGCUAGUUGGUGAGGUAAAGGCACACCAAGGCAACGAUCUAUAGCUGGUCUGAGAGGAUGAUCAGCCACACUGGGACUGAGACACGGCCCAGACUCCUACGGGAGUCAGCAGUGGGGAAGCUUGCGCAAAGGACGAAAGCCUGACGCAGCCAUGCCGCGUGAAUGAUGAAGGUCUUAGGAUUGUAAAAUUCUUUUACCAGGGACGAUAAUGACGGUACCUGGAGAAAAAGCCCCGGCUAACUUCGUGCCAGCAGCCGCCGUAA
rnacentral:rRNA from 1 species